CACGUAGGGGGCGAGCGUUGUCCGGAUUUAUUGGGCGUAAAGAGCGUGUAGGCGGCCAUACAGGUCAGCUGUGAAAACUCGAGGCUCAACCUCGAGACGUCGGUUGAAACCGUAUGGCUAGAGUCCGGAAGAGGAGAGUGGAAUUCCCGGUGUAGCGGUGAAAAGCGCAGAUAUCGGGAAGAACACCCGUGGCGAAGGCGGCUCUCUGGGACGGUACUGACGCUGAGACGCGAAAGCGUGGGGAGCGAACAGG
rnacentral:rRNA from 1 species